GCUAGUGUAGCUUAACUAAAGCAUAAUCCCGAGGCUGUUAAAUAAGGCCCUAGUGAAAGCCUCGUUAGUA
rnacentral:tRNA from 1 species